rnacentral:rRNA from 1 species
GAUGAACGCUGGCGGCGUGCCUAAUACAUGCAAGUCGAGCGAACAGACGAGGAGCUUGCUCCUCUGACGUUAGCGGCGGACGGGUGAGUAACACGUGGAUAACCUACCUAUAAGACUGGGAUAACUUCGGGAAACCGGAGCUAAUACCGGAUAAUAUAUUGAACCGCAUGGUUCAAUAGUGAAAGACGGUUUUGCUGUCACUUAUAGAUGGAUCCGCGCCGCAUUAGCUAGUUGGUAAGGUAACGGCUUACCAAGGCAACGAUGCGUAGCCGACCUGAGAGGUGGAUCGGCCCACAGGGAACUGGAACCCGGGCCAACCCCCUGAGGGGGGCAGAGGGAGGGAAUCUGCCGCAAGGGGCGAAACCCUGACGGGCCAACCCCGGGGGAGGAAUGAAGGUCUUCGAAUCGUAAACCCUUUUUUUUAGGAAAAAAAAAAUGUGUAAGAAACUUUGCCCGUUUUGACGGUACCUAACCAGAAAGCCCCGGCUAACUAAGG